rnacentral:rRNA from 1 species
GACGAACGCUGGCGGCGUGCUUAACACAUGCAAGUCGAACGAUGAACUUGGAGCUUGCUCUGGGGGAUUAGUGGCGAACGGGUGAGUAACACGUGAGUAACCUGCCCUGGACUCUGGGAUAACUUCGAGAAAUCGGAGCUAAUACCGGAUAGGACCUUGCACCGCCUGGUGUGGGGUGGAAAGUUUUGCGGGUUGGGAUGGACUCGCGGCCUAUCAGCUUGUUGGUGAGGUAAAGGCUCACCAAGGCGUCGACGGGUAGCCGGCCUGAGAGGGUGACCGGCCACACUGGGACUGAGACACGGCCCAGACUCCUACGGGAGGCAGCAGUGGGGAAUAUUGCACAAUGGGCGCAAGCCUGAUGCAGCAACGCCGCGUGCGGGAUGACGGCCUUCGGGUUGUAAACCGCUUUUAGUAGGGAAGAAGCCUUCGGGUGACGGUACCUGCAGAAAAAGGACCGGCUAACUACGUGCCAGCAGCCGCCGUAACAC